rnacentral:tRNA from 1 species
GGAGAGGUGGCAGAGUGGUCGAAUGUACCUGACUCGAAAUCAGUCGAUGUCGCAAGGCAUCCGUGGGUUCGAAUCCCACCCUCUCCGCCA